CUCCGGGUGAUCCUGCCGGACCCGACUGCUAUCAGAGUGGGACUAAGCCAUGCGAGUCAACAUAGCAAUAUGUGGCAUACGGCUCAGUAACACGUAGUCAACAUGCCCAGGGGACGUGGAUAACCUCGGGAAACUGAGGAUAAACCGCGAUAAGUCACUACUUCUAGAAUGGGUAAUGACUCAAAUCUACAUGGCCCCUGGAUUGGACUGCGGCCGAUCAGGCUGUUGGUGAGGUAAUGGCCCACCAAACCUGUAACCGGUACGAGCUCUGAGAGGAGGAGCCCGGAGAUGGGCACUGAGACAAGGGCCCAGGCCCUAUGGGGCGCAGCAGGCGCGAAACCUCUGCAAUAGGCGAAAGCCUGACAGGGUUACUCUGAGUGAUUUCCGUUAAGGAGAUCUUUUGGCACCUCUAAAAAUGGUGCAGAAUAAGGGGUGGGCAAGUCUGGUGUCAGCCGCCGCGGUAAUACCAGCACCCCGAGUGGUCGGGACGUUUAUUGGGCCUAAAGCAUCCGUAGCCGGUUCUACAAGUCUUCCGUUAAAUCCACCUGCUUAACAGAUGGGCUGCGGAAGAUACUAUAGAGCUAGGAGGCGGGAGAGGCAAGCGGUACUCGAUGGGUAGGGGUAAAAUCCGUUGAUCCAUUGAAGACCACCAGUGGCGAAGGCGGCUUGCCAGAACGCGCUCGACGGUGAGGGAUGAAAGCUGGGGGAGCAAACCGGAUUAGAUACCCGGGUAGUCCCAGCUGUAAACGAUGCAGACUCGGUGAUGAGUUGGCUUCUUGCCAACUCAGUGCCGCAGGGAAGCCGUUAAGUUUGCAGCCUGGGGAGUACGGUCGCAAGACUGAAACUUAAAGGAAUUGGCGGGGGAACA
rnacentral:rRNA from 1 species